rnacentral:lncRNA from 1 species
CUCAGACAGGGGUAGAGCUGGCAUUGACUGAAUGUGGUUAUGCAGAGCUGCUGCAGACCAGCUCUGUUACCUAGCAAGUCUAUUCUCUUGCACUUUGCCUCAGGUGGAUGGUAGUAUUGCUUCUGCAUUCCGUAAAUUUCUUUCUUCUGCCCGGGAAUGUGGAUUCUCUUGGUGAAUAUUCUGUUCCAAGAGAAUUUGUUUCACGUUUCGGUGCUUCUUUAAGGAAGGUGUAGGUGGUCUUACAGUUGAGGCACGCAUGGGAGGAGGAACUAGGCAGCAUUUUGUGUCUCUUCGUCCAGGAUUCCCUGCCACCAGGGUCAGCCAGGUCCUGCAGCUGUCUGCCUGGCUGCUGUGUGAUUCCAGCAUGCAAUAAGCUCGUGUGUCUGCCUGCUUUCUGGAACCAAGAUGUGCAAUAGAUGCAGAGCACAGCUAGUCCUGGAAAUGAGUCUCUGCGGCUCUCUGCAUGGAGGCCGAGGUCUGGGUGAUGUUUUGAGACUGAGCUUGCCUUCGCUGGGUGAUCUGAUGGGUGUGAAGGGCAAGAGAUGGAGGGCCCAUAGCAGUGCUGUCUGUGCUGCAGUCACCUGCGGGUGUGAUGGUUUAACUGUUCAUUUUUUUUUUGCCAGUAUUUGAAGUUUCAUUGCUUGAUUUACAUCUGAGUAAAUUUCUUUAGUAUCUUGGAAGACUUUUCUUUCCAGUAUGAAAGCUUACCUCGGGUUCCGAUGGCAUCCUGCUCUUACCUCCAGCUCAGCCCUCACCACUGCUCUCCGCUUUUGACAUGGAACGGGCAGACACCAUUUGUGACCGUGCGAAUAUCCUGAGUCACACACUACCAGCUGGCUUUUGUGCUGCAGUUUUCCCUUCUCCCUUUACGACUGCACUCCCUAGAGGAGACCUGAACAAUUGCACUCGUCAGCAGAAGCGCAUGGUGUGCCGUGCCUGGAUGGCACCAUUGGUGGACGACCUCUGGCUGUGUCUGUGGGAUCCAGUUGAUUUGGCUUCUGCUCUGCCUGGGCUUUGCACCUGCUACAGCCCCAGCAAACUUGGCAGCAACCCUUCGGCUCUGCAGAGAAAACAACUGUCUAGACCAGGAACGUUCUGCCUGAUGCCCUGGACGGACCCCAGGCACUAAUCUGCAUCCACAACGGCGCGUUGUUGUGUCUGUUGCAAAAGAUGGAUAAAAUCUUUGUGGACUCCUAAUUGCACCUUUAGCCUCCUGCUGUUCUGCAUUUAUGAUCUGAUCUGCACGCUGAGUCAACGUCGCUGUAACGACAUGGAUGGAGGGCAGAGGUCCGCAGGUUUGCUUUGAGGAAGCCCCAUAAACAGGGCAGAUGUUUCUGAUGGCGAUGCCGGAGCCAGCAGAACCCCUGCAGCAGUGCAGCCCCAUGGUGCUGGAGGCCCUUCCAGACUGGAGGUGUGGCGGUGGUCUGCAUGUCAGCAGAGCAGUCCCAGCAGCGUUCAGCAUGGAUGAGGUAUUGAACGCAUCCCCGUGCCUCUGGGGGGCAACGUGGCUUCUGCUGACGUGUGAACACUCUGCUUGGCAGCCUGGUGCAGCACAUCACAGCUCAGAUGGGUUCUCCCAGGCGGCUGUGCAGCACAGAGCUAAUACAUGGAAUACAGGUGCUCGUGGACUCGUUCUGCACCGACCUGCCAGUCUGCAGGCCCCAAAAAUACAGGCACGGCCCAAAGGUUUCUAUUCAGGGCUCAGCAGUGGAAUAAGGAACAUGAGCCGUGGGAUAUCCCGUGUCACCGCAGGCUGCUCAGCCUGGAAGGGGCUGGUGGCAAAGGGAGGAAACGUCAGAAACGCCAUGGACUAUUUUAGAUCUGCAACCUCAGUUCUGCAAAGGACAGCCUGCUGAUGUGCCACGCUCAGCGAGCAGCGGGGAGGAACCCCACGGCAGGAAGAGAGGUUUGCAAGUUUCCCUUUCCCAUAGAGCACAUCCCAAACUGCUGCACGACAGCAUGCUGUGCAGUGCUGUGCUGCGUGGUGUCCUGUCAGCCUGCUGGGAGGACACGGAGUGCUCCAGCAGUGGGCAAUGUGGGAGCAGGCUGUGAGCUGCACAGCCCAGCAUACAGCACGGUGUGAGGCUGGAACUCCCAGUGCCCUCAGCACGUCUCCGUGCUGCGUCCCUGGCUGUGCAGCUCGGCCUGGAGGGCCCGGGGCUGUGAGCUCAUGGGUUUCUAUUUAUGCUUUCAUCUGGUUUUGCCUGCUUUGGACGGUUAACGUAACGCACACGCAGGGUGGUGCUUCAAGGAGACAAACAGUUGCUUCAUCUCCCUGUACAGACAGCCCUCUGCCCUUUGCGUUUCGAUUCCCGGUGUCUGUGUGUGUGGAGGUGAUUUGUCCAUAAUUGUUUGCUUUCUCCGGAGUCCUUUGAAGCGUCUGUCUCCCAACCGGUCCCCUCUUAAGAAUAAAUGCUUCCAAGCCACCAAUAACACGUGGGCCAUGAUUACAGCCCGGCUCCUCGCUGAGGGCCGUGAGGUCACCGAGGCAGCGCAGUGGGAACGGUUUUGCCUUCUGUGUGUGGGGUUGGGCAGAAGGACCCCCUGUGCUGCAGUGAGGGGCGGGGAGGGCUCUGUGUGGUGC